AUAUCGCCGGGGGCGCUUAUUAUGUCGAAUAUGGUAAUUAUCAAACCAUACAGUACACUACACAAUUUCUUAUCUUUACAAGACCCUCAUAUUGCCUGCAAGGACCCUUAGAAUAUUAUAAUUAUUUGAGGGUCCCCAGGACCCUUUAUUUUUUAAGCCAAAUAAAACCCUGGAUACCAUUAUGCCCAUUGACUGUGUUAUUCAGUUCAAUCAGGCUGCGAAUGUAUUUGAUAUUGAAGUUUGCAUAAAGGGAUGGGCAAUGAGGAUACUAUUAUCAGGAAUGAACAAUGUCUGUAAAUAUAUACGCUAUUCUGAGCCCUUUGCCACUAUGCAACAAUAAUUAUUCUCUUAUUUCAUUGAUCACUGCAAAAACAACCUGUAUGAAAAUGUAUAUGAACAAUGAAGAAGUGAUUAUUUUGUUUCUGGAAAAGCAAUAACUCAGUGCUACACCAUCAUAACCCAAACCUUUGUAUGUGCCUCGUAUUAAACUAAAACAAGUGCAAUUUGCUCUAAAUACAGUAUUGAUCAUGGAUACUGUAUUAACCCCUUUUAAUCAUUGUCAAUCAUGUAGGAAUAACAAGGAUUGUCAAAUGACGUCCAUGUUGAUCUUUGUGCUUCUAUGACAUUAGUUGUGUAACUGAAGCAAGUUGGUAGGCUCACUGUCAAUUUGAAGAAUCUACAGAAUUAGAUGUUGUGCAACUGUUAUGAAGAACAUAAAGCUGGCUGUCAUGAUGUUUGGAUUUUUUAUGUGGUGAAUAAGGGCAAUGAGGAUACUAUUUUCAGGAAUUAACUGUCUGUAAAUAUAUACGCUAUUCUGAGCCCUGUCUGUGACCAUUCAGCAAUAAUAGGUCAUCUAAUUACAUGGUCAUUGUCAAAUAGAACCCCCUUUUUAAGCAUAUGAUAAUGUUAUAUUUUACUGGUAUAUGUCAAGGUCACUGGAUAGCAAAAGCUAAUGAAACUUUCUGAAAAAGAGUAUGCUUUUAUCACCAAACUAUGUUCUCAACAGGAAUCAAUGUGUCAAACUUAUCUCAUCGAUGUAAUAAUAUUAAUCCCUUUUAAUCAGUGGUAAUCACUGUUGAAAUAUGAGGAUUUUGUCCGGAUUUUAUACAUCCUGAUGAAGGCUAGUUGUCAUUUUGUUUGUAAUUUACAUGUGGCAAGGGCAAUGAGGAUACUAUUUUCAGGAAUGAACAAUGUCUGUAAAUAUAUACGCUAUUCUGAGCCCUUUGCCACUAUGCAACAAUAAUUAUUCUCUUAUUUCAUUGAUCACUGCAAAAACAACCUGUAUGAAAAUGUAUAUGAACAAUGAAGAAGUGAUUAUUUUGUUUCUGGAAAAGCAAUAACUCAGUGCUACACCAUCAUAACCCAAACCUUUGUAUGUGCCUCUUAUUAAACUAAAACGAGUGCAAUUUGCUCUAAAUACAGUAUUGAUCAUGGAUACUGUAUUAACCCCUUUUAAUCAAUGUCAAUCAUGUAGGAAUAACAAGGAUUGUCACAUGACGUCCAUGUUGAUCUUUGUGCUUCUAUGACAUUAGUUGUGUAACUGAAGCAAGCUGGUAGGCUCACUGUCAAUUUGAAGAAUCUACAGAAUUAGAUGUUGUGCAACUGUUAUGAAGAACGUAAAGCUGGCUGUCAUGAUGUUUGGAUUUUUUAUGUGGUGUGCAAGGGCAAUGAGGAUACUAUUUUCAGGAAUUAACUGUCUGUAAAUAUAUACGCUAUUCUGAGCCCCGUCUGUCACUAUUCAGCAAUAAUAGGUCAUCUAAUUUACAUGGUCAUUGUCAAAUAGAACCCCCUUUUUAAGCAUAUGAUAAUGUUAUAUUUUACUGGUUAUAUGUCAAGGUCACUGGAUAGCAAAAGCUGAUGAAACUUUCUGAAAAAGAGUAUGCUUUUAUCACCAAACUAUGUUCUCAACAGGAAUCAAUGUGUCAAACUUAUCUCAUCGAUGUAAUAUUAUUAAUCCCUUUUACUCAAUGGUAAUCACACUUGAAAUAUGAGGUUUUUGUCUGGAUUAUGUACAUCCUGAUGAAGGCUAGUUGUCAUUUUGUUUGUAAUUUACAUGUGGCAAGGGCAAUGAGGAUACUAUUUUCAGGAAUUAACAAUGUCUGUAAAUAUAUACGCUAUUCUGAGCCCCUUGCCACUUUUUGCCAAUAAUUCUCUAAUUUCAUAGAUCACUGCAGAAACAACCAGUAUGACUGACAUUAACUUUCAGAGAUCUAUCAAGGGGAUUUGGUGCUAUGAUGCUUAUUGACUGAAGCAAACUGGUAGAUUCACCAUCAUUUUGAAAAAUCUACUUAAUUACAUUUUUUGAAACCGUUAAUCUUCCUCAUGAUGAUGAUGAAGAACAAGAUUGCUGUCAUAAUGUUUGGAAAAUAAUGUUUGGUGGUGGACAAGGGCAAUGAGGAUACUAUUUUCAGGAAUUAACUGUCUGUAAAUAUAUACGCUAUUCUGAGCCCUCUGUCACUAUUCGGCAAUAAUAGGUCAUCUAAUUUACAUGGUCAUUGUCAAAUAGAACCCCCUUUUUAAGCAUAUGAUAAUGUUAUAUUUUACUGGUAUAUGUCAAGGUCACUGGAUAGCAAAAGCUGAUGAAACUUUCUGAAAAAGAGUAUGCUUUUAUCACCAAACUAUGUUUUCAACAGGAAUCAAUGUGUCAAACUUAUCUCAUCGAUGUAAUAUUAUUAAUCCCUUUUAAUCAAUGGUAAUCACUGUUGAAAUAUGAGGAUUUUGUCUGGAUUAUGUACAUCCUGAUGAAGGCUAGUUGUCAUUUUGUUUGUAAUUUACAUGUGGCAAGGGCAAUGAGGAUACUAUUUUCAGGAAUUAACAAUGUCUGUAAAUAUAUACGCUAUUCUGAGCCCUUUGCCA
rnacentral:lncRNA from 1 species